GAUGAAGAACGUAGCGAAAUGCGAUAAGUAAUGUGAAUUGCAGAAUUCAGUGAAUCAUCGAAUCUUGAACGCACAUUGCGCCCGCCAGUAUUCUGGCGGGCAUGCCUGUUCGAGCGUCAUUUCAACCAUCAAGCCCCAGGCUUGUGUUGGGGACCUGCGGCUGCCGCAGGCCCUGAAAACCAGUGGCGGGCUCGCUGUCACACCGGGCGUAGUAGAUUUUAUCUCGCUCAGGGCGUGCUGCGGGUUCCGGCCGUUAAAAAGCCUUUUUUACCCAAGGUUGACCUCGGAUCAGGUAGGAAGACCCGCUGAACUUAAGCAUAUCAAUAAGCGGAGGA
rnacentral:misc_RNA from 1 species